CAAAAAUAAGAGUUUGUUGUUCUUUUGAUUUUUUUUUAUUUUUUUUUUUUAAAAGAGAAAUUAUCUUCUCCCUUCAAAAAGCAUCCACAUGGUGGACCAUGCUUCCAAGGAGGAUGUCUCCUCAGUUUCCUUCUCUUCCUCAGCCUGCUGGGCACCUUUGUGGAGGUUCAGAAAACUUCUGUUUCCAGUGAAACAGUGUGGCAACAGUUGCAUAUAUCUGGGAAUCCUAACAACCCAUGCCAAGUUACGGAAGGCAAACCCUACAAAAACUAUCUGAGAAUUAAAGCCGCGGUGUCUCCCGUAUUUUACAUCAUUUGAAUGUGAAUAAUGAAAACCAGCAACCAUCACCCUUGACUGUAUAAAAAGUGUGCAUGAGCAGGCAUUGAAAAGCCCUAUCGAUACCGGCACCUCGAGCCCACCGAGAAGGCAGAGAGGAGCCCGUUUAGAUACAAAGCAUCUAUAUGAGAAUCUGCACAGAAACAGGCGGAACUGUUCAGACGAAGAAGAAAACUGUAGCUUUUCAUUUGCAAGAUUUAGGAAUCCAGAGAAGCAGAGCAUGAGGGGAAAAGGAGGUGACUUUCUGAAUUCAAACACUUACUGUACUUGACAAGCUGAAGACAAAGGCACAAGGAGGCUGUACAUGGGCGGUUUCCAGCACUGAAGGUCUCUGCUGCCGGAGACACUGCAUCCAGGUGCAAACAGAAUCACCUACACCUGGCAGAGCUUCAUAGGCCAGCGCCAGCUCAUCAGUGAAAAGUGCAAUGGGUGGCCUCUAACCUUGCCCUCUUUCCCCCACGAAUGACCUUGCGUCUGCUGUCAGGCUGCCCCCUCUGCAAGUGAUUCGAGACCUCCUCUCUGCUCCGUCCCCUGUGAGGGAAGGGAAAAUCCUCUUAAAAAUCCAGCUACAAGGCUGUAAGUUCCUGGACAAACUCUGAGUACGGAUUAGGUGUUUUGUGAUACCAGGGGUCUUCACUGCUGGAUAUAUUCUGAGGAUGCUGCACAAAACAUUUUGGCAGGUGUGGAUGUCUUUCAAAACAAAAUGGGAAGCAUCCCCUGGAUCUUUUUGUGUUUAGCUCAAGGGGACCCAAGCCCAGCUUUUGAAAGUCUUUGAAAUGUGCCAUAAAAUAUGUACCAUGUCAAGGAAAGAGAUGGGAAGUCUUGGGUUUUGUUCUCUGCUCUGAAGACUCUUUGCUUAAAACAGAGUAAUGACCCUUGAAACAAGAACAGGAAACUCGGCUUCCACCACUUGAGGAAGGACCUGCCUCUCAGCGCUAGUUAUCUGCACAACACCUGGCACCUCUCUGCUUUGCAUUGACCUACUGGGAAGCCCUGUUUGACCGAUCGUAUGUGAUGGGAGUUCUCCAUGUGGGUGGCGGUUCUGCUACACAUGGUGUGCGUCUGUGAUGUGCUUGAUUGUGGUGACACACAAAGAAUUUUGUGAAAUUAGCUUUGGUUAACCAGCACUAGCAAACCUCAGCAAUAUGCACUGGAGUGGUUGACGUGCAUGUGAUGAGGCGGUCCACGUACAGUUCAUAGGAAGCGAGAGGCCCCAUCUGCUUUGACACCAAUGCAGGCACGAACAGCUUCUAACAUUUUGCACACUUAAAAUCAAGUAAAUUACCAUCUUGCUGACAGCUUCAGCAGCAGCAUCAAAGAUGAUUGGAUACAGCAUCUGGAUUUGUGUGUUCAAGAUCCAAGUGAUGUUAUAUUUUAAUGUGGCAGAGAAAUGGAUGAGUCUGGAUACUGAGCCAGCAGAUGUGUAAGGAAUACCUUACCGUUAUGUAUGGCAAGGGAAAAGCAUUCCUAAAACGUUUCUGGUAUGUGGCACAGAGAGCGGGUAAGAAAGUAUUCAAAAGUACCACUGGAGUCAGUGAUCUGGUUUUUCCCUUCCUCAUCUUUACACUGUGCACAGUUAGAGGCAGCGGUUGCACAAGCAUGCAUCAGAUCCGGUGUAAGGCACGAGAGCUGUGUAAGUGUAUGUUCAAACACAUCACAUCGUAGAAUCAUAGAAUGGUUCAGGUUGGAAGGGACCUUAAAGAUCAUCUAGUUCCAACCCCCUGCCAUGGGCAGGGACACCUCCCACUAGACCAGGCUGCUCAAAGCCCCAUCCAGCCUGGCCUUGAACAAUUCCAGGGAUGGGGCAUCCACAGCUUCCCUGGGCAGCCUGUUCCAGUGCCUCACCACCCUCACAGUCAAGAAUUUCUUCCUGAUAUCUAAUCUAAAUCUCCCCUCUUUCAGUUUAAGAGGACAUUAACACAUCCAUGGAGAGAUGUGUUGAUUGUGUACAUGGGGAAGCACACCCAUUGCAUCCACUGAUCCCAAGUGGAGCUCUGUAAAAGUCAUUAUUUUUUCCUAGGUGACACUCUAGUUUGGAUAUUCACCUCCAGUAUCCAUUUCAUUUUUGAACUCGUAGUUGUAUCUGGCACAGCUACUGAUGAGGCAUUAAACAGAAUAUUAUUUUCACUGGCACCCACAGUACUUUUGGGCAAAAGCACGUAAUUGUUUAUAAGCCAAAUAAGAUGGCUAGUCCACAAAACCAGUAACAGGUAGGGAGGGUGCACGGGAAGCAGAGGAGGGUGUGUAAAAAGUAAGCAGUGUGAAGCGAGAGAGAAAAAAAAUCUUUUUCUGAAGACAUAUUUUCUAAAGAAGAAAGAAGAUUAUCUAACGUUUAUGACGAAGAGUUUUCCUUUUAGUGUUUCUCUUUUUGCUGAGUAUGGCGGAGUAGAGCUUCAUUGUGAAAUUUAGCAAAAAAAGGGCGAGAUUUGAUGACAGAUAAACGUAAUAUUUUGUUUGCACAGUGUCUCAAGAACUGUUCUAACACUAAGGUUAAAGGCCAUUAAA